rnacentral:rRNA from 1 species
UACAGAGGUCUCAAGCGUUUGUUCGGAUUCAUUGGGCGUAAAGGGUGCGUAGGCGGCGCGGUAAGUCGGGUGUGAAAUCUUGGAGCUUAACUCCGAAACUGCAUUCGAUACUGCCGUGCUUGAGGACUGGAGAGGAGACUGGAAUUUACGGUGUAGCGGUGAAAUGCGUAGAUAUCGUAAGGAAGACCAGUGGCGAAGGCGGGUCUCUGGACAGUUCCUGACGGCUGGAGGCACGGAAGGUCAGGGGAGCAAACGGG